rnacentral:rRNA from 1 species
GACGAACCGUGCGAACGUUGUUCGGAAUCACUGGGCAUAAAGGGCGCGUAGGCGGCUUAUCAAGUCAGGGGUGAAAUCCGGCAGCUCAACUGUCGAAGUGCCUUUGAUACUGAUGAGCUCGAGGGAGGUAGGGGUGUGUGGAACUUCCGGUGGAGCGGUGAAAUGCGUUGAUAUCGGAAGGAACGCCGGUGGCGAAAGCGACGCACUGGAUCUCUUCUGACGCUGAGGCGCGAAAGCCAGGGGAGCAAACGGG